rnacentral:lncRNA from 1 species
AGUCGCGAAGCAGAACAUCCGGGGACCUUGCCCCGUCUUUUCAGGGUCGAUAGUAAGAGCCGGAUGGGAGUGGGGGCCCCCGUGAUCUGUGGUGGGGUCUCGCCUCACUCCUCCCGCGGGGUCCGUAUCCAUCGCUGGCAAGGGCUGGCACUCGUCCCUCCCCGAACCUGAGUCGGGCCCCCCCAGACGAAGCCUCGCGUCCCCCAGACGCCCAAGACCAAGGUCGCCAAACGCCACAGCCCACCACACGUGCUCGGGGCUUUCCACAACUAACGGCACUGGCAGGGCCCAGCCUGGCCCCGCUCCCUACGCGGGGCGGGGGGGGGGGGGGAAGCCUCCCGCCUCUCCCUCAGGGUCCUCACCUCCGAGCUUGGCGCAGCCCGCGAUUCCUCUCUCUUCUGACCGGAGUGGGCUCCGGUCAGGCCGAGCCUCACGCCUCUCACGCGCCCAAGACGCAAGGCCAGCCGCGCCUCGUACGGGAACCCUGCCUGGGGUCUCCCCUGGAUGACCGCACAGGUCGUCCGAGACCAGGACCCGAUGUCUGGGGUGAAAAACCCCUCAGUCCUAGCUCGGGGUCCUCGCCUUGGCUCUGGGCUCUGGCUGAGCCGCUCUCCUCUCUGGAGCUGAGCUCAUUGGCUGCAGCACAAGCCCCUCCCCUUCCCGAGAACUUCAAGGUGGACGCGAGGAAGCACCGAUGGCCAUCUGCUCCAGGGCGAUGGAGCGUUGACGCCGGGCGCAGGUUUUCUGGGCUUCAUUCUGGGAGAAGACAGCAGCCCGAGCUCUGUAGUCAUCUUGACAUCUACAGGUAAGACGCUAAGUCUGUAAAUACGAAUUGACAUCUUUACUAUGAUGUGUAUUCCACCAAUGAAUAUGCUAUACUUCUCUGUUUGUUUGGGACUUAUUUUACCGGAAUCUAUCAGUAAACUUUUAUAGUUGUUUCCGUAAAGAUCUCAUACAUUUUUGUGAUGAUUCGUUUAAGGUAAUUUUUGGAUCCUGUGGCUGUUGGGAUGUCUUCUAUCACAUGUUCUAAUUAGUUACUGUUUUUGUGUGACAAGGCUCUGGCUGUUUGUUGGAGUGAACUUAUACUAUCUUUCUGAGGUUUCGUAUUCGUUUGAAUAUUCCACAUGCUUAUUCCUUAGAAUUUUCUACAUAAGUGAUCAUAUCGCCAAAUAGUAUCUUUCUUUUCAGUAUUCAUACUCCGUACUUAUAUAUCCACAGCUAUGGUUUUGCAUUUCAGUGUAGUUUUGAACAGUAGAGGUGAUAGCAUAUACCUCUAUCUUUUCUCAGACCUUACUGGAAAUGCUUCUAACAUUUCACACGAAAGCAUGUUUGCUGUAGAUUUUAGGAAAGGGAAAUUCCCUUGUAAUCUUAGCUUGCUAAAAGAUUUAAAAAAAAAAUUCCCAUGAACUUGUG